UACGGGGGGGGCAAGCGUUGUUCGGAAUUACUGGGCGUAAAGGGCUCGUAGGCGGCCAACUAAGUCAUACGUGAAAGCCCCGGGCUCAACCUGGGAAUUGCAUUUGAGACUGCGUAGCUAGGGUGCGGAAGAGGGAAGCGGAAUUUCCGGUGUAGCGGUGAAAUGCGUAGAUAUCGGAAGGAACACCAGUGGCGAAAGCGGCUUCCUGGUCCAGCACCGACGUUCAGGCACGAAAGCGUGGGGAGCAAACAGG
rnacentral:rRNA from 1 species